GUUCGUGAGAGUCCAGACACAGGUGGACGGAAUUGGCCAUCAGGCUCAAGCAAUCCUCACCAGAAUCCAAUCAAGCAAUCACCCCAGUUUGCUGAGCUGGUUGGUUCCUCUCAAAGUAUUCGAGUAUUGUCCAUUUUCCCGUUACCAGCAGCACAGCUGGCAUUUACACAGACAAUGGGCUCUCCCCAUGUGACAGCAGUGAAAUUGGAGUAAAACCGCCCGUAGUCAACUUGUGGAGAAAACAGCUUUAUCCUUUCAGCUAAGCCCUCACAGAGUAAUGCAGUUGAGAAACUCGCGUUAUUGGCGGUUUUCCUGGAAAUUACAGAGCUCUUUGCUUUUAGGCUUCCAGACUACCGGCCUCAA